rnacentral:rRNA from 1 species
GACGUAGGGGGCCAGCGUUGUUCGGAAUUACUGGGUGUAAAGGGUUCGUAGGCGGUGCGGCAAGUCGGGAGUGAAAUCUCUGGGCUUAACCCAGAGGCUGCUUCCGAAACUGCUGUGCUUGAGUGUGGGAGAGGCGCGUGGAAUUGCAGGUGUAGCGGUGAAAUGCGUAGAUAUCGAGAGGAACACCUGCGGCGAAGGCGGGUUGCUGGGCUGACACUGACGCUGAUGCGCGAAAGCCAGGGGAGCGAACGGG